CCUACGGGAGGCAGCAGUGGGGAAUAUUGCACAAUGGGGGAAACUCUGAUGCAGCGACGCCGCGUGAGUGAAGAAGUAUCUCGGUAUGUAAAGCUCUAUCAGCAGGGAAGAAAAUGACGGUUCCUGAUUCAGAAGCUCCGGCUAACUACGUGCCAGGAGCCGCGGUAAUCCGUAGGGGGCAAGCGUUUACCGGAUGUACUGGGUGUAAAGGGCGCGUAGAUGGCAGCACAAGGCCGGAGUGAAAUGCCGGGGCUUAACCCCGGAACUGCUUUGGAAACUGGGCAGCUUGAGUGCAGGAGAGGUAAGUGGAAUGCCUAGUGUAGCGGUGAAAUGCGUAGAUAUUAGGAGGAACACCAGUGGCGAAGGCGGCUUACUGGACUGUAACUGACGUUGAGGCUCGAAAGCGUGGGGAGCAAACAGGAUUAGAUACCCGAGUAGUC
rnacentral:rRNA from 1 species